rnacentral:rRNA from 1 species
UAAAUAAGGUAGCGAGCGCAACCAUUGUCCUUAGUUACCAGCAAGAUAAGGUGGGCACUCUAAGGAGACUGCCGGUGACAAACCGGAGGAAGGUGGGGAUGACGUCAAGUCAUCAUGGCCCUUACGGCAUGGGCUACACACGUGCUACAAUGGUCGGUACAAAGGGUUGCCAAGCCGGAGGUGGAGCUAAUCCCAUAAAACCGAUCGUAGUCCGGAUCGCAGUCUGCAACUCGACUGCGGGAAGUCGGAAUCGCUAGUAAUCGUGAAUCAGAAUGUCACGGUGAAUACGUUCCCGGGCCUUGUACACACCGCCCGUCACACCAUGGGAGUGGGUUGCUCCAGAAGUAGCUAGUCUAACCUUCGGGGGACGGUUACCACGGAGUGAUUCAUGACUGGGGUGAAGUCGUAACAAGUAGCCGUAAGGGAACUUGGGGC